AAAUCCACGUGGGGCUUGAGGCCAAGAACAGCCCUUGUUGCCACCAACGUGGAGACUUUGUACCGUGUCCCGUUCUUAGUGCUUGAGUGUCCCAACCUGAAGCUGACUAAGUCACCCUGGCUGCACCUGCCAGCAGCCAUGACUGCGUAUGCUCUGGUGGUGGUGUCUUCCUCAUGACUGGAGGAACAAUUCUGUGAUAUUGUUGACCCCCCAAGUAUUGGCUGAUGAACGUGGGCAUCAAAGGCCAGUAGCUUUCUUGGCCUACAGAGUAAAUGGACAGUAUAUUAUGGAAGGACUUGCAUCCAGCUUCCUGUUCACAAUGGGAGGUUUAGGUUUCAUAAUCCUGGACCAAUCGAAUGCACCAAAUAUCCCAAAACUCAAUCGAUUUUUUUCUUCUAUUCAUUGGAUUCGUCUGUGUCCUACUGAGUUUUCUCAUGGCUGGAGUAUUCAUGUGAAUGAAACUGCUGGGCUAUCUGAUGGGUUAGAGUGCCUUUGAGAAGACAUCAGUGCAUACUGGAUUUGUUCCUGUCAAUGAAGUUUUACAGGCUGUACCAAUCCUCCAAUAUGAAAUGUGGGAAAGAAUGAAGAGCGGCAGUAAAAGAAAUACCUAGCGAAAAACACAGGAAGCAUAUUGAAGCUUGGACUAGAAUUUCUUCUUGGUAUCAGAGAGACAAGUUGAUCACAGUAUUUUUUUUUCCCCUGCUGACCUAUUGAUAAUACCAACAAUAUUGAGUGGCAUUUUUUUCUUAGUUUUUAAUUUCUUAAAGAAAAUAUACUCCAUAUCUUCAAGAAAAAAAAAAAGAAUAAAAAUCCACACCUGAGAAUAGAUCCAUACAACCUGCUUACAAAGAACAGCUCCUGUGCUACCUGAGGCUGAUCUAUUUGAAGAACAAAAGGAAGACAAUUUAGUGUAAACAAGUGCUAUUCAAUGGAACUUUUUGCAGCAGUGGCAAUAUCCAUAAAUCUGCACUGUCCAACCAAACUAGCCACAGAUAGCUGCUGAGCAAUUGAAAUGAAGCUAGCACAACUGAAGAACUGAAGUUCUUAGUUUAAUUCAACUUCAAAUGGUCACCUGUCACUAGUGACUACCACACUGGACAGUGCAGGUAUAGAUGGAGUUCAAAUCAGAGUCUUGAAACUUAAUAGCUCUAACCUUAGGCAAGUUAUGUAACAUCUAAGCCUCAAUCCCUCCAAGUAGAAUGGAGAUAGCCACUGCACCUAAAUCAUAGGGUUGUCCUAUUGUCCUGAGCAACAUUAUGUAAAGCACUUAGCCUACAGCCUACCACAUAGUUAUCUAGAAUUGGGAACGUCACUGCUGGUUUGCAUGUCCAGACCCUACCUGGGAGAAGGGCCUAGCCUAUGAUUUUAGAACCCUCAGUUGCAGGUUUGCAUGUUUCAGCUAACACUCCACUCUGCAGGCUCAUCAGGACACCAUACGGUUGUAAAUUGGCUUCCAUGUCCCAGUCCCGGCUUUUGAGGGUCAGUUCUCUCCUUAUGAACAAAUUAGCAGGCUCUGGGCUUGUAAGAUCAAGGAGUACUGCACCACCGCCCCCGCCCGGCUCAGAUUUGAUCUGAUUGACUUUGGCUUCCACCUACUGUUUAAAAUGUGUAUGUUGGAGUAGGGACGGCACAGGGGAGGGGGUUACUUUCCUGACUCUAGCCCAGGACAUUUGGUGUUUUUGAAUAGGCACCGUUCAGCGUGGCUUCAGUGUUAGGAAUAAGGUACUCUUUUUAUUCCAUCCUCUAUGGAGACAAAAAGCUCCUCAAAUUUUGAGUACUGACCUACAUAGAUUUCCAUUUCUUCGGCCUCAGGCCAAACAACUGGACAGGGCAGCAGAACAAGACUGUCUCCUCAGGAUCCUGCCAAAGGCACUGUCCUCUCCAACCUGGACCCAGCCCCACUUGCCCUUACUGGUUGCUUACACCCAGAGUGCACACUCACAGGAAAGGGGCUCUGCUGGCUGCAGGUGAUCAUCUUGUCCCUUCUCUGCCUUAGUGUGUGUUAUUGCCAUUUCAAUGUCAGUGGUUUUUUAUGUAUUUUCUUCCAGUCUUUGCAGCUGAGAUCUGACUGUAUAUACUAUUUUGUAUCCUUUCAUGUAUUUCUUUCAUAUAUUUCAAUGCAACCCUCAUCAUCAUCAUAAAUCUCUCCAGCAAAAUGCUGGAGGCCUCCCUCUUCUGAACCUUUACAUGCUGCUGGCUGGCAUCAAGCAGAGGUCAUCACUGGGCACUGAACAGGUCAGCUCCCUAGGGCAAUGUGAGCAAAGUGUUGGGGCUCAUCCUUGAUCCUCUUUGCCCUUUUGGCAAGAUUCCUUUCUCAGUCACAGAGCAGAUGGACACAUAAUCUUGUUCUCCCAGGGGCUGCAUUCUUGGGAGUCUUUUCCCUGCGCCUUGGGCGCCUGGUCAGGGAGGUUUGUACAAGCCUGUGCACAACACAGCAGUCUGUCAUGAGGCUGGGCCAACCUUUUUUUUUUUUUAAAACAGACUCUUGCUCUGUCAUUCAGGCUAGAGUGCAGUGGUGCAAUCUCAGCUCACUGCAACCUCUGCUUCCCGGGUUCACAAGCAAUUCUCAUGCCUCAGCCUCCCGAGUGGCUGAGACUUAACAGGCACACACCAUCACUCCCAGCUAAGUUUUUGUAUUUUUAGUAGAGACCGCGUUUCGCCAUGUUAUCCAGACUGGUCUCAAACUCCUGGCCUCAAGUCAUCCACCCACCCCAGCCACUCAAAGUGUUGGGAUUACAAGCAUGAGCCAUGGCACCCAGCCUGAGCCAACCUUUUCUGAGCCAUAGUCCAACUGUACUACAGCUGUAUCCAAAAGGUACCGUGUAUCUCCCAGGGUAACCUGAAGACCUAACAGGGCACACUAGCUGUCCUGAUUCCUUUCCAUUUCAGAUCUUUAAGGCCCAUCUCUUCUAGAUCAGUGUAAAUACCUGAACUUGGUGCUUCAACCCAAUUGGUCUUGGGAUUCAUCCUUUUCCUACCCAGCUCUCAUUCUCUUCUAGGCAAUUCCAUGGCCUCUUCCACAUAUUACAUUUGUGGUCCUGGGCAAGUUACAACAACACUGAGCAUCUUGUCACUUCACCCAACCACAGGCUAAUCCCAGGCCAUGUGCACAUCCCAGGAUUAGCUUGUGGUUUAUCAGUUAUUUUGUCAAUUUUUUGUUUGUUUGUUUAAUACAGGGUCUCACUCUGUUGCCCCAGCUGGAGUGUGGUGGCGAUCAGAGCUCACUGCGGCUUCAAUCUCCUGGCUCAAGUGAUCCUCCCACCUCAGCCUUCCAAGUAGUUGGGACUACCCACAUGCACCACCAUGCAUGGCUAAUUUUUUGUUUUUUUGGCUUUUUUGUUUUUUUAAGUAGACACGAGGUCUGACUACAUUGCCCAGACUGGUCUCAAACUCCUAAGCUCAAGCAGUCUUCCCACCUUGGCUUCCUCAAGUGUUGAAAUUAUAGUGUGAAUCACUGUCAGGCUCUUUUGUCAGUGCUAUCAACCUCUAACAUCCUCACACCAGACAAGACAGGUGUCUGUAUUAAAACUUUAUUACAAAAUUAUAAAGCAGAGCUCUGUAACAAAAUAAUACACAUUUGGGUUUGCUUUAACCUCCAAGUAAGUCUGAGAAAAUCUUAAUAUAAGCUACUUGAAGUAACAAUUCACAUCCAAGAAAUUUCCACAAAUUUAUACAAUGUAUAUUGAGCACUAGUUCCUGUACAGCUUACUCUUAUUAGUUUGGAUCCAACUAUUCCAAUGUAUUAUGAACCAGUCAGCUAUCUGUCUUUUCAAACAAGUCUUAACUGAAAUUUCAGAGCAAUCAGCAAAAGCUACGGAAUAAUUGUAAGAAUUAGAUGUUUCCAUGAUAAUUAAAACCAAGGAUCCAUGAGGGGCAGGAGGGAAGAUUCAAAGAUUUAAAAAAAUUAAAUUUUAGAUCUUGGUUAAAUAUGAACUGGAAUGGGAUCCUGGAACUCCCAACUUUUAUUUGGUGUAAUAAAAAUGAUGCAAAAAAAAAAAAAA